rnacentral:rRNA from 1 species
UACGGAGGUCUCGAGCGUUAGGCGGAAUCACUGGGCUUAAAGCGUGUGUAGGCGGAUCGUUAAGUACCUUGUGAAAUCCCACGGCUUAACCGUGGAACUGCUUGGUAUACUGGCGGUCUUGAGCCAGCUAGGGGCGACCGGAACAAAUGGUGGAGCGGUGAAAUGCGUAGAUAUCAUUUGGAACGCCAAUGGUGAAAACAGGUCGCUGGGGCUGUGCUGACGCUGAGACACGAAAGCCAGGGGAGCAAACGGG